rnacentral:tRNA from 1 species
GCCUUUGUGGUGCAGCUGGAAGCACAUCUGGCUAAAAAUUGGAAGGUCCAGAGUUCGAAUCGUGGCGAUGGCA